rnacentral:rRNA from 1 species
UACGAAGGGGGCUAGCGUUGCUCGGAAUCACUGGGCUUAAAGGGCGCGUAGGCGGGCGGUCAAGUCAGGGGUGAAAUCUUUCGGCUCAACCGGAAAAGUGCCUUUGAUACUGGCCGUCUCGAGGGAGGUAGGGGCAUGCGGAACUUCCGGUGGAGCGGUGAAAUGCGUAGAUAUCGGAAGGAACGCCGGUGGCGAAAGCGGCGUGCUGGACCUCUUCUGACGCUGAGGCGCGAAAGCCAGGGGAGCAAACGGG